ensembl:snoRNA U8 U8 small nucleolar RNA
AUGUCAGGUAGGAUAAUCCUUACCUGUUUCUUUCUUCAGAAGGCAGAUAGAACAUGCUGAUUGGAGUUCACAUGAUUUGUGAUUAAUGUCUCUGAGUGAUUAGAGGUGAUUAGGGCUCAGAACACCCUAAUCACUCCUAUCUGAU